ACGGCGAGUGAAGCGGCAACAGCUCAGAUUUGAAACCUGGCCUAGCCCGGAUUGUAAUCUGCAGAAGGUGUCUCGGGUGCGAUACCGGUCCAAGUCCCUUGGAACAGGGCGUCACAGAGGGUGAGAAUCCCGUUGUGAUCGGCCGUCAAACCCGUGCGAGACCCUUUCGACGAGUCGAGUUGUUUGGGAAUGCAGCUCUAAAUGGGUGGUAAAUUUCAUCUAAAGCUAAAUACCUGCCAGAGACCGAUAGCGCACAAGUAGAGUGAUCGAAAGAUGAAAAGCACUUUGAAAAGAGAGUUAAACAGUACGUGAAAUUGUUGAAAGGGAAGCGCUUGCAGCCAGACUUGCUGCCGGGGGUUCAGCCAACCUACGGGGAGGUGUACUCCCCCGGCGGCAGGCCAGCAUCGGUUCCGGCGGCCGGAUAAAGGCUUCGGGAAUGUGGCUCUCUUCGGGGAGUGUUAUAGCCCGAGGUGUCAUGCGGCCUGCUGGGACCGAGGACCGCGCUUUUGCUAGGAUGCUGGCGUAAUGGCUGUCAGCGACCCGUCUUGAAACACGGACCAAGGAGUGGUCCAACCAUGCGAGUGUUUGGGUGUAAAACCCAUGCGCGUAAUGAAAGUGAACGGAGGUGGGAGCCUUCGGGUGCACCAUCGACCGAUCCUGAUGUCUUCGGAUGGAUUUGAGUAUGAGCAUGGCUGGACCGACCCGAAAGAUGGUGAACUAUGCGUGAAUAGGGUGAAGCCAGAGGAAACUCUGGUGGAGGCUCGCAGCGGUUCUGACGUGCAAAUCGAUCGUCAAAUUUGCGUAUAGGGGCGAAAGGUGUGUACCACUUCCAAAAAA
rnacentral:rRNA from 1 species